GACGAACGCUGGCGGCAUGCCUAAUACAUGCAAGUCGAACGAGAGGAAGGAAAGCUUGCUUUUCUGAAUCUAGUGGCGAACGGGUGAGUAACACGUAGGUAACCUGCCCAUGUGCCCGGGAUAACUUCUGGAAACGGAUGCUAAAACCGGAUAGGUAGCAGACAAGCAUUUGACUGCUAUUAAAGUGGCUAAGGCCAUGAACAUGGAUGGACCUGCGGUGCAUUAGCUAGUUGGUGAGGUAACGGCCCACCAAGGCGACGAUGCAUAGCCGGCCUGAGAGGGCGGACGGCCACAUUGGGACUGAGACACGGCCCAAACUCCUACGGGAGGCAGCAGUAGGGAAUUUUCGUCAAUGGGGGGAACCCUGAACGAGCAAUGCCGCGUGAGUGAAGAAGGUCUUCGGAUCGUAAAGCUCUGUUGUAAGAGAAAAACGACAUUCAUAGGGAAUGAUGAGUGAGUGAUGGUAUCUUACCAGAAAGU
rnacentral:rRNA from 1 species